AACGAACGCUGGCGGCGUGCUUAACACAUGCAAGUCGAACGCUGAAGCUCCCAGCUUGCUGGGGGUGGAUGAGUGGCGAACGGGUGAGUAAUACGUGAGUGACCUUCCCUUGACUCUGGGAUAAGCCCGGGAAACUGGGUCUAAUACCGGAUAUUCACUUCCUCCUGCCUGGGAGGUGGUGGAAAGGGUUCUGUACUGGUCUUGGAUGGGCUCACGGCCUAUCAGCUUGUUGGUGAGGUAAUGGCUCACCAAGGCGACGACGGGUAGCCGGCCUGAGAGGGUGACCGGCCACACUGGGACUGAGACACGGCCCCACG
rnacentral:rRNA from 1 species